rfam:Macleaya cordata isolate BLH2017 scaffold949, whole genome shotgun sequence.
AAACAGGUGAUGAAAAUGGAUUUUAAUUUCUCACGACGGUCAUCAGAGACUUUGUGUCGAUGUUGAUUCGAAUAUCCAAUCUUUCUGAUGGUU